UUAUAGAAAUUCACCGUCAGAUGGCAGCAGCUACAGGUUGCAUAUAACCUAAAUGUACCUAUAUCUAAGUUGUCUGAAUAUUUUGUGUCUUUGCCAGCCGCGAUGCACCGAAGUCUUCGAUGAGCGAUGGCGAUCGAAAGCGUAAUCGUGAAAUAAUUGAAAUAAUAAUAGAGAUGUUAUUGGUAUGCGGUGCCUGCGCGCCACGGGCGCACGAAGACGACGAUAAUGACAUGAUACAAACCUGAAUGCGACCACCAUUCGGACGAUUCGACGAUUUUCCUCUUCGAUCAUCCUCAACUUCAAUCAUGAAAGCAACACACACACACAUAUAUACAAGGCAUGUAUUUAAAUUCAUCCAUUUUUAUAUUGACGAAGUUAAUUUUAUUAAGGCGAAGGGUUUUUGAUGUGUGCGUUGGCAACACUGCGAGAUGGUAAUAAAGCAGUGGGCAACAAACGGCGGCCAUGCGGAACCGGUCAUGACUUCCCGGACAUGCUCGCCUAUCUGUCUCUCUUCUUCUGGUAGCGCGCGCGCGUGUGUGUUUGUAGCUUGUAGCUGGUUUUGCUCGGGCGAAGCGAAGCGGAACAUUAUUACGUCGUCCGCGACGGCUCUCAUCACACCAAUGUCAAGUGCAUCAAAAGCAACACACAUCGACAUUAAUAACCGACAACCACAGCUCCGACAGCUCACAACAAGUUGUGAUACUAAUACAAACGCAGGUUUUGUUUUUUCGAGGGUCAAAUGUCGCCGGUGGAAAUUAGAAAUGCACGCCACACACACGGCACUGCACUUUGAACUUGAAACAAACCCACGGAAAUUGUGAGUAUAAUUAAAUUCAUACAUUCAUCAGCGCCCUCUUGUGUUGUUAACAGGUUAUAAUUUAAAAACGCGUGUUUUCGUGAGAAAAACCGUUGAAUCUGCCUGAUGCCGAAUUGCGCAAGUCAAUUUCAUUGCGAUCGUGACUGAAUCCGAACGCGAUCGAAUGUCUUGCGCGCACGAGAGUUCAAGAAUCGUCCUGCGCCUCCUCCUGUGCUUCAAUUUCAUCACGCGUCCACCACGGUCAUUUCUAAUUUCGAUUCUCUCCACAAUUGGCAUACGAGUGCGAAGUGCGAGGUAAACAAUCGAACAACACACCAUACUACAACGAACAAUCAACAAUAUAAACGAGUACAACUCGAACACUAUAAGAUUAUAGAUUGAAGCAUCAUCAUCGUCUCGGAUAGCAGCAGGUACUCGACAUAAUCGACGUCUGGUGCGCUAUUGGGCGAUCCGCGAUGAGAUUCUCGUGCGGUGUGCGGCGCGUAGGAAAUAGAGGUGCAAUUGUCGCGAGUAAUGAGGUAGCCAGUGGAGAUGCGCUCUAGUGGAGUGUGCAGAGCAAUGGACUCGUUCCGUGCGCGGUCUGCGCGUGUUUCUUCUGGCGAGUCUUCAACCUGUCCGUGCUGUGGUUAGUUGGCAAGUGUAUAACUUGAAAGGGUAUUAAGGGAGCAUUGUUUUCCUACAAAAAUAUACCAAACAAUUAAAUAUUUUAAUCUUUAACGAGUUAAAUAUGCAAAAAAUGAAUAAUUUUAGUAAAAAAAGAAGAAAUCUGUAGGAAAUUUAACCAAACUUUGUAUUGUUAGGCAACCAACAUUUCCUUUUGCGUGUGUUCCGCUUGCAUAACGUAAAGUUGUUGUUGUUUUCUUCUUCGCGUUUCUUGCUCUUCAUCCACCUGUGCAUGUUGUGUAGGUGCCUGCAAACGCACGCCGCACGCAAGAAGUCGACCGACUCCUCGAAGCAUGGCGCGAUCGUCAAGAUUAGACGGUCUACUGACAAUGCGUACGCAUCGCACCCCGACCGAUACUGAUCUACAACUAGCGCGCACCUGUCGGGAGCGCGCACCGAGCGGAAUGUCUAAUUACCGCACGAAACAAUAGAAACUCUCGUGCGCAUUCAAGCUUAAAUCUUAAGCGCGCUGCAAAAG